rnacentral:lncRNA from 1 species
GUGGAUCUGAGCAGCACCUCUGGGUGCCGGAAGCCGAGGCCAGGCGAGCACGUGCCCGGUGCUAUUAGAGUGCCAGCUCAGACAGGCUGGCGAUGGAGGCGCUGCCAUUGCCCGCAGCUGUGGGUAGCAGAGCUGGGAUCAGCACCCACACUGCCCACCCUGGGGGCCAUGCUUUUGUAGGGAAGGGUGGAGAGUGGCUCUGGGACCAGAGAUGACUUGUGGGGCGAGCGGUCUACAUGGUCCCCCAGGCUCCCUGGCCUGCUCCCCUGGAGAGCGGGCCAGAGUACGUGACUCCAUGGGCAACACUGGGGACAGGAACUGCUCACCCGUGCACCAGGAGGGAGGCCACACGGGGCGUCCGUGCAGGCUCCAGUUCUGCCCUGCAAGGAAGUGGCUGCCGGGGUCUGAGAGUGCUGUCCAUUCCCGGCGGCCAUUCCAUCCUGUCCAAGGUGCCUGUAGUAGUCUCCCCCAUCCACAGUGUUGUCACGUGGGUGGCUCCGGCUCCUCGGCUUCUGCAGGGAUGAGGCUCCUGCCUGUGCACCUUCCACUUCUGACAGCGAGAGACAAACCCCUCCAUGAGGAGGCUUUUGCCAGCCGAUAGCAAUUGUCGAGAACGUUUCGGGUUCUGCAGGUCAGUGUGGGCCUCCUAAAUAGGGGAGCUGGGAGCAGACAGAGCAAAGCUGCCCGUCCUCCAGGACCUGUGUCUGCAUUCGGGGACAAUCAACUCAGCUGACUGCCCCUCCGAGCCUGGAGAGGAUUUGUUGGCAUUCAAGAGUCAAGAGAAGUUGUAGCAGGAAGGGACAGUGAGAAUAUGCACCAGCUGGCCUGCUAAAGCACUAGGUUUCCUAGUUUGGGGUCCCUCUAUGUGGUUCAGCCCUCUGUGCAUGCAGGUACAUGCACUCAGGCCACGUCGCCCCGUGGGGAUUGGGGCUGGGGAAUUGGUGGUAAGAGGCGGGCUGGGGCUAUCUGUGCACGAGGGAUCAGUGUCCUGUUUCUCCAGCUGGGGGUCUUGUGUUUGCGUGUGUGAACACACGUGGGGAACAACAGCAGGCACCUUGUGUUUUCGACUAGGCUGGCCGCUCAGAGGAGGAGAUCGAGGGUCCCGGGGCUGGUUAAUGCAUGUGAAGAAAUUCCGGGGUUCUAGGCUGGAGGCCUGACUCCGGGGACCCCAACAGACCAGGUCUGAUUACCCAAAAGGUCAUGGUGAGAGGCAGGGAAGGAGCUUUGUCAACCUGUCCGUGUGGGGAAGGCACGGGGGAUCCGCACCCAGCCCCGUCUUGAGGGGCUGCAGGUUUAAGUAGAGAAGAGGGGUGGGGCUGGAGGUCUGCUUAAUUAAGAGCCUUGGUCACGCUGAGGUCACCAUUUCAGUUCUGGUUCAGCGAGGUGUCUUUGCCGGAGAAGGCUUUGUCACUCGAUGGGCGGGUUUCACUUAUUGUCAGGGUGUUUACCUGUCAGGUGUUUCAGUUCCCAGGAGGCGGUCACUCCUGCUGGAGGGUGUCACUGUGGGGUGACGUUCCUGCCUCCCAGGUUCCUGGAAGGUGCAGGACAAAGAUGUUAGGGUCUGUAAACAAGUCAAGAUGGCGCCUGACAUUUUGCCAGGGGGAGUGGUUUGUGAGGUGGCCCCAGCGAGCCAUUAAGUGUGGAGAUUCCUGAUUGGCUGACUGCUGUAUCUAGUUUAUGUUAAUUAGAUAAGCUGUGUGGAAUGUCUAUAUACCCCUCCUGUCCUACAAUAAACGGCUCCCACUCCUGCUGAAUCAAUCUACGCAAGUUGCUCGUCACCCCCUGGUUAUUUUGCUGCAGCCGGACUGCGGCAGAUGGUGGCCCGUACCGGGAGCCCCAGGACACUCGGGGGUAAGUUGACGAAAAAAGCUGCCCGUCCCUAGAUAGGACGGGAGCAAAUCUGCUCGUCCCUAGAUAGGGCGAGAGGAAAAAUGGCCAUUUUGAGAAAAUGGAGAAGAUUGAUGCAGUAUGUUUGUGUCUUGUUUUGUCUUGAAAUGUUGUAUUGUCUUUGUGACGAAAAUAUGCAAGGGGUGUUAAGUAAAUUACUAAGGGAAGGAGGCACCCCAGUGGAACCAAGAAUAGUUAGGGCAUGUGUUGAUAAGAGCCCAGGAAUUCUAAUCAGAAAGAAAAAGAAAGUUCAGAAGAAGAAGGAUUAUCAGGAAAAAAGUUGCAGCAAAAGGCUAUUACUAAAUACUUUUUGUUACCGGAGGGUAUGUGAAUCGGCGCGGUGGCUGCCACGUGCGCGAGCCGGUCAUGGCGCAGCGAGGACUUUCCAAGUGGCGGCAGCCAGCUCUUCCCCGCCCCCCGACCGGGGAGUGGGAUGCCACUGCGAGAGCCCAAAUCUAGACCUGACCUGGAGGCAUAGUCUCGCAGGCUCUUGCUCCCUGUGCCCAGUGGCAGUUUGAGUCCGGAACACUCCCCGGACUCUCCCCGGGGCCAUCUGGGGCUGCCCGGGACGCUGCAGGUGGAAGACGGCCCAUGUCCCUAAAGUUUGAUCAUUUCCAAGGCCAGUAACUACAAUGGUUCUCCCACACCUGGAAGCUAAUGAGUAAUGAGCACUAUUAAGGCUUAUUUCAAAUGUGAAAAAAUCUUGAGAUAAUGCACUAAAUUGUUCAGAAAGUUGUUUUCUUAGUGCCUGCUGGAAUACUAUAGGAUUUUCUUUAGCAUCAUUGCCGGAGUUCCUGCCUUCGUCCCAGUGCCGGUGAGGAUGAGGGUGGAAGAAUUUCCAGUGUUGCUGAGAACUGGACGAGACUUCGGAUCAAGCUAGCUGCCUGCAAAACUUACCUAGACUGUGAUUUAAGCUAGCUGCCUGCAGAACUUACCUGGACUGUGAUUUACCUGGACUGUGAGUUAAUCUAUUGAGACACUGCUUUACCUGGACUGAGAGAACAAACUGUAAUCUACAACAAAUUGUAACUCGGUAUCUUUGCUAACGGUGUCAUUGCUGGUAUAAUUUUUCCAAGGGCUUCUUGCAUGGAGCCAUAAAUUGGCUUGGUAUUGUGGCAUUUUGUAUCCUCCCCUUCUGCUUGUAGCAGAUUAUUUAUGGUGUUUGUGUAAAAACCACUAUGGUCGUUAUUUAAAUUAAACAAAAGGGGGAAAUGUUAGGGUCUGUAAACAAGUCAAGAUGGCGCCUGGCAUUUUGCCAGAGGAAGUGGUUUGUGAAGUAACACCAGCGAGCCAUUAAGUGUGGAGAUUCCUUAUUGGUUGACUGCUGUAUCUAGUUUAUGUUAAUUAAGAUAAGCUGUUGGAAUGUAUAUAUCUACCCCUCCUGUCCUACAAUAAAUGGCUCCUACUCCUGCUGUAUCAAUGUA